rnacentral:rRNA from 1 species
GCGAGUCAUUGUAGUAAUACAAGGCAGACGGCUCAGUAACGCGUAGUCAACUCUAACCUAUGGACGGGAAUAACCUCGGGAAACUGAGUACCAUGCCCGAUAGAACAUUAUGCCUGGAAUGGUUUAUGUUCCAAAUGAUUUAUCGCCGUAGGAUGGGACUGCGGCCUAUCAGUUUGUUGGUGAGGUAAUGGCCCACCAAGACUAUUACAGGUACGGGCUCUGAGAGGAGUAGCCCGGAGAUGGGUACUGAGACACGGACCCAGGCCCUAUGGGGCGCAGCAGGCGAGAAAACUUUGCAAUGUGCGAAAGCACGACAAGGUUAAUCCGAGUGGUUUCUGCUAAAGGAACCUUUUGUCGGUCCUAGAAACACCGAUGAAUAAGGGGUGGGCAAGUUCUGGUGUCAGCCGCCGCGGUAAAACCAGCACCUCAAGUGGUCAGGAUGAUUAUUGGGCCUAAAGCAUCCGUAGCCGGCUUUGUUAGUUUUCGGUUAAAUCUGUACGCUCAACGUACAGGCUGCCGGGAAUACUGCAGAGCUAGGGAGUGGGAGAGGUAGACGGUACUCGGUAGGAAGGGGUAAAAUCCUUUGAUCUAUUGAUGACCACCUGUGGCGAAGGCGGUCUACCAGAACACGUCCGACGGUGAGGGAUGAAAGCUGGGGGAGCAAACCGGAUUACAUACUCGGGUAGUCCCAGCUGUCAACUAUGCAAACUCAGUGAUGCAUUUGCUUGUGGCCAAUGCAGUGCUGCAGGGAAGCCGUUAAGUUUGCCGCCUGGCAAGUACGUACGCAAGUAUGAAACUCAAAUGAAUUGACGG